rnacentral:rRNA from 1 species
UCAUCUUCGGGGGUAGAGCACUGUUUCGGCUAGGGGGUCAUCCCGACUUACCAACCCGAUGCAAACUACGAAUACCGAAGAAUGUUAUCACGGGAGACACACGGCGGGUGCUAACGUCCGUCGUGAAGAGGGAAACAACCCAGACCGCCAGCUAAGGUCCCAAAGUCAUGGUUAAGUGGGAAACGAUGUGGGAAGGCACAGACAGCCAGGAUGUUGGCUUAGAAGCAGCCAUCAUUUAAAGAAAGCGUAAUAGCUCACUGGUCGAGUCGGCCUGCGCGGAAGAUGUAACGGGGCUAAACCAUGCACCGAAGCUGCGGCAGCGACACUAUGUGUUGUUGGGUAGGGGAGCGUUCUGUAAGCCUGCGAAGGUGUGCUGUGAGGCAUGCUGGAGGUAUCAGAAGUGCGAAUGCUGACAUAAGUAACGAUAAAGCGGGUGAAAAGCCCGCUCGCCGGAAGACCAAGGGUUCCUGUCCAACGUUAAUCGGGGCAGGGUGAGUCGACCCCUAAGGCGAGGCCGAAAGGCGUAGUCGAUGGGAAACAGGUUAAUAUUCCUGUACUUGGUGUUACUGCGAAGGGGGGACGGAGAAGGCUAUGUUAGCCGGGCGACGGUUGUCCCGGUUUAAGCAUGUAGGCUGGUUGUCCAGGCAAAUCCGGAUAAUCAAGGCUGAGGUGUGAUGACGAGGCACUACGGUGCUGAAGUAACAAAUGCCCUGCUUCCAGGAAAAGCCUCUAAGCAUCAGGUAACAUUAAAUCGUACCCCAAACCGACACAGGUGGUCAGGUAGAGAAUACCAAGGCGCUUGAGAGAACUCGGGUGAAGGAACUAGGCAAAAUGGUGCCGUAACUUCGGGAGAAGGCACGCUGGUGUGUAGGUGAAGUCCCUGCGGAUGGAGCUGAGACCAGUCGAAGAUACCAGCUGGCUGCAACUGUUUAUUAAAAACACAGCACUGUGCAAACACGAAAGUGGACGUAUACGGUGUGACGCCUGCCCGGUGCCGGAAGGUUAAUUGAUGGGGUUAUCCGUAAGGAGAAGCUCUUGAUCGAAGCCCCGGUAAACGGCGGCCGUAACUAUAACGGUCCUAAGGUAGCGAAAUUCCUUGUCGGGUAAGUUCCGACCUGCACGAAUGGCGUAAUGAUGGCCAGGCUGUCUCCACCCGAGACUCAGUGAAAUUGAACUCGCUGUGAAGAUGCAGUGUACCCGCGGCAAGACGGAAAGACCCCGUGAACCUUUACUAUAGCUUGACACUGAACAUUGAGCCUUGAUGUGUAGGAUAGGUGGGAGGCUUUGAAGCGUGGACGCCAGUCUGCGUGGAGCCAACCUUGAAAUACCACCCUUUAAUGUUUGAUGUUCUAACGUUGGCCCCUGACCGGGGUUGCGGACAGUGUCUGGUGGGUAGUUUGACUGGGGCGGUCUCCUCCCAAAGCGUAACGGAGGAGCACGAAGGUUAGCUAAUCCUGGUCGGACAUCAGGAGGUUAGUGCAAUGGCAUAAGCUAGCUUGACUGCGAGCGUGACGGCGCGAGCAGGUGCGAAAGCAGGUCAUAGUGAUCCGGUGGUUCUGAAUGGAAGGGCCAUCGCUCAACGGAUAAAAGGUACUCCGGGGAUAACAGGCUGAUACCGCCCAAGAGUUCAUAUCGACGGCGGUGUUUGGCACCUCGAUGUCGGCUCAUCACAUCCUGGGGCUGAAGUAGGUCCCAAGGGUAUGGCUGUUCGCCAUUUAAAGUGGUACGCGAGCUGGGUUUAGAACGUCGUGAGACAGUUCGGUCCCUAUCUGCCGUGGGCGCUGGAGAAUUGAGGGGGGCUGCUCCUAGUACGAGAGGACCGGAGUGGACGCAUCACUGGUGUUCGGGUUGUCAUGCCAAUGGCACUGCCCGGUAGCUAAAUGCGGAAGAGAUAAGUGCUGAAAGCAUCUAAGCACGAAACUUGCCCCGAGAUGAGUUCUCCCUGAGACUUUAAGUCUCCUGAAGGAACGUU